AGAGGUCUGCGAUUGGCUGGCGACCAGUCCAGGGUGUACCCCGCCUGUCGCCCAAAGUCAGCUGGGAUAGGCUCCAGCAUACCCCCACGACCCCAGUGAGGAUAAGCGGCAUAGAAAAUGGAUGGAUGGAUGCAGUAAGACACAGGCUGGCAGCUUACAAGCCACCGGCGGCCAUAAUGGAUGAGACGGCGGCAGAAGAUUAAAGUUGUCCGCCUCACCUCGGAGGGCAAAGUCAUCUGGCCGCUUCCUCCCACUCAGCAAAAUGAGGCCUGAACAUCUCCAUUGUGUUUAUGACGUCAAGUGGGUUUGCUUCUGCUGGGAAACAGCAGAUAUCUCACUUGGAGCUUACAAGGAACCAUUGGAAUCUUACUGUUAGUUUCAAUUGGGUCUUGGUGGCUGUUGUGUGUAAUGUGUAACAUCUCCACUGAUAGAACAGAGUUCUUAAUUUGAUCUUGUACAGCGUCCAGCAUAAAUUUGAACGCCAUAAAAAGUUUUAGGAUAUCAUGCACCAUCAGACACCAUCAAAUAUUCUGCUUUUACAAUCAUUAUAAUGUUCACUGGAGCGGUGCAACUGCACUGCAUCAUACUGAGAGCUGUUUCUAAUAUUUUGACCCCCCCCCCGUGU